GUUGGUGACUAUACUGUGAGUGCUCCACCUGUUCCCAUUCCGAACACAGAAGUGAAAUCUCGCAAGGCCCAUGAUAGUACAGUGCUUAGCAUUGUGCGAAAGUAGGUAGUCGCCAGCU
rnacentral:rRNA from 1 species